GUGUGUGCGUGCGUGCGUGCGUGCGUGCGUGCGCGUGCGUGCGUGUGUGUGUGCGCGUGUGUGUGUGUGUGGUGUCGUUCUUGACAGAAUGCUUUAAUGAAUCAGUUGCUUAUAACACAAGCCUUAUCUGUGCCUCUAAGAAUACAGAAAACAAAAUAACUGUUGCCAGGGAAACGAGAUGUUCUGUAUUCAACAAGGCAAGUUUCCCCCCCCACACACACACUUUAUUCUCUCGGGCAUGUGCCCCUUUCUGUCCAAUGGGGUAAUUUAUGGACAAUAUUUAGGGUGUGCCCCUUUUGGCUCAAGAACACCCUCAGAGGCAAACAUAAUGUACAGUCCUUUAGUUCACUGUUAACUCCUCCACAUUACUCAAUAUAAUCAUCAAAUCUACUCUACCUGCUGAACACUGCAGGAGCAUAUCGACUAGCUUGCAUAGGUUCUAUAAUGGAGCUGUUUUUGCACUUACCCUCCUCCCCAUUUUUCUUUGUCAUUAAGUUGACCUAUUUAGACUACAAUAUCAUAUUAACUCACCACUUGCAUAGGCUUCAAAAUGUAUUUGUUAGCAUACUCUCUUCACCCCUCUCCACCCCUUCCACCCCGACCGAACCCAGUCUACUAGAUUGUGACAGUCGUGUCAGUCUUUGGUUUCACAACUGUGGGAUGAAUAGAGUCUGACGUAUGCAGUGGUAGUUCGAUGUCAUGUCAAAACACAUACAACUCAUUUACAUGAGAUUAAAAAUACAUAACAAGAAUAAUAAUAAUAAUUAAACACUUCUGAAACUGUAGUCUAGUUUGACGGAAGCCUUGGUUGUUGCUUGUUAUUCGUGUGGUGGCUGAUACUGUAUAGAGGUCGACGUCCGUUAUUCUACUGCUGCUUUCUGAGAGUGACUGGCAAGAUGGCUGAUGCUCCUGAGCCUCUGCUAUGAUGGAAGUACUACUGUAAACGUUACGAUGCUUUCUGAGAGUGACUGGCAAGAUGGCUGAUGCUCCUGAGCCUCUGCUAUGAUGGAAGUACUACUGUAAACGUUACGAUGCUUUCUGAGAGUGACUGGCAAGAUGGCUGAUGCUCCUGAGCCUCUGCUAUGAUGGAAGUACUACUGUAAACGUUACGAUGCUUUCUGAGAGUGACUGGCAAGAUGGCUGAUGCUCCUGAGCCUCUGCUAUGAUGGAAGUACUACUGUAAACGUUACGAUGCUUUCUGAGUGACUGGCAAGAUGGCUGAUGCUCCUGAGCCUCUGCUAUUAUGGAAGUACUACUGUAAACGUUACGAUGCUUUCUGAGAGUGACUGGCAAGAUGGCUGAUGCUCCUGAGCCUCUGCUAUGAUGGAAGUACUACUGUAAACGUUACGAUGCUUUCUGAGUGACUGGCAAGAUGGCUGAUGCUCCUGAGCCUCUGCUAUUAUGGAAGUACUACUGUAAACGUUACGAUGCUUUCUGAGAGUGACUGGCAAGAUGGCUGAUGCUCCUGAGCCUCUGCUAUGAUGGAAGUACUACUGUAAACGUUACGAUGCUUUCUGAGAGUGACUGGCAAGAUGGCUGAUGCUCCUGAGCCUCUGCUAUGAUGGAAGUACUACUGUAAACGUUACGAUGCUUUCUGAGAGUGACUGGCAAGAUGGCUGAUGCUCCUGAGCCUCUGCUAUGAUGGAAGUACUACUGUAAACGUUACGAUGCUUUCUGAGAGUGACUGGCAAGAUGGCUGAUGCUCCUGAGCCUCUGCUAUGAUGGAAGUACUACUGUAAACAUUACGAUGCGGGAAAAUGGCAAGGCAGAAUAUAAUCUCAUUUCAAUAGUGAAAUGCACAGUUCUCUUUUUGUGUGCAUCUGUGUCCUGCUUUUGAAACUUUCAACGGUUCUUUUAGCAAAUGAUUUGCUAUCUUAUUUCAAUGUUGCUUAACGAGAAAACAUUACCAGACCCCCUGCGUUCAACCACCAUCCGAGAGCCCAGACCAUUACCAGAUCUACUGCGUUCAACCACCAUCCAAGAGCCCAGACCAUUACCAGACCCCCUGCGUUCAACCACCAUCCGAGAGCCCAGACCAUUACCAGAUCUACUGCGUUCAACCACCAUCCAAGAGCCCAGACCAUUACCAGACCUACUGCGUUCAACAACCAUCCGAGAGCCCAGAACAUUACCAGACCUACUGCGUUCAACCACCAUCCAAGAGCCCAGACCAUUACCAGACCCCCUGUGUUCAACCACCAUCCGUGAGCCCAGAACAUUACCAGACCUACUGCGUUCAACCACCAUCCAAGAGCCCAGACCAUUACCAGACCCCCUGCGUUCAACCACCAUCCAAGAGCCCAGAACAUUACCAGACCUACUGCGUUCAACCACCAUCCAAGAGCCCAGACCAUUACCAGACCCCCUGCGUUCAACCACCAUCCAAGAGCCCAGACCAUUACCAGACCCCCUGCGUUCAACCACCAUCCAAGAGCCCAGACCAUUACCAGACCUACUGCGUUCCACAGUAGUGGAUCUAUUGUGCUUUGCCCCUUGGCAUGACAGGUACCAUGGUACAGUACAUGCUGUGCCAUCAACGCACAUGAUUGCUACGGUCUGGCCACCCACAAUGUGACGCUGUUUUCCCCCUGCAGCUUCUGAAAGCCACUGAGGUCUUAAAGACCAACGUCUCUUUUGAACAGUGUUCCACUGUUGGCUUUUCUAAAGUUGCAUGACUGAUGCUGUCUUCUGCUGGUCCAAUGUUUUAUAAUAUUAGAUAGAUUAUAUGCUCAUAAGAUUCAAGUCAUGAAACCAAAAUAUAUUGCUUUAGUAUUAGAACUAAUGGUCGCUAAUGGUCUAAUCUCCCACAAUUUUGAAUUGGUCACAUCAUCCCGGCUUUCUUUUGUCAUUUUUUAAAUGUUUGAACAUUUUCUCUCAGACUGUUCCUGUCCUGUCUCUUCCUAGAAAGAGCUCUGAGUCUUAGUGUGGCCACCCACGGAUGUCCUUGCCAGGUCCUUAAUGGGCCCAGUCUCCUCUCUAUUCUUCACACACACCCUCAUCAUCACUCUGAUUUAUUCAUUGGGUGGGCCAAGGAGCUGGAACACAUGAGUUCAGGCUGAGGAGAGAGAGACUAAUUUAGGGACAUGGUGUCCGUACCCACCUAUCCUUUUGUGACCGACUCUUACUAUCAAACAGCUUGCCAGAGCGCACGCAAUAUUUGGUUCUGUGUGUCAAGAUCUGUGCCCUGAUUGGAGAGAUGAUGGGGCUGGUAGUAGAAUUCAGGUUGUUAGUGAUGCUGUUCCCAUCCGCUAGUUAUCAUAUCAGUCAUUUUUAGCCUUUUUAUUUGAACUUUGCUUGAUGCUGUUUAGGUCUAUCUAUCGUUAGCAUCAUAUACCAUUUCCUACAGCUUGCAUUUGGCGAAAGGAAGUUUUAGCUCAGCCAAUGUUAGGGGCAGUUUGUGUGGUUACUGUUUUUUCGUUUUUUAAAUGUAUUUUAUUUAACUAGGCAAGUCAGUUAAGAACAAAUUCUUAUUUUACAAUGGCGGCCUACUCCGGCCAAAUCUGGACAACACUGGGCCAAUUGUGCGCCGCCCGAUGAGACUCCCAAUCACAGCCGGUUGUGAUAAAGCUUGAAAUCGAACCAGGGUCUGUAGUGACGCCUCUAGCACUGAGAUGCAGUGCCUUAGACCUCUGAACCACUCGCAAGUUUGAAUUUACUAGAGGUUUGAUUUCAAGUGUUGUUGAAGUUGAUUGAUAUGAUAUAUUAUUUGUUAUUUUUGUCACGUACAGUUGUUGAUAUUGAAUUUUUGUUGGGGAUAGAGGAUAGUGCUCAGUUUUAUUCUGACUGUAGCGUGUGUGUGUGCGGGGCGGGGGGGGGUUCUUCGAUUCCUGUAAAUAUCUAAACUACACAGUUAUUCCAACAAGGAUAAUUCUCCCUCGUGGGGACAUUUUCCCACAUCCCCAUGAGGACAAAAAAAUAUUUUAGGUUUAGUGGUUAGGGUUAGUAUGAGAGGUUUGGGUUAUGGUUACGUGUUAAGGUUAGGGUUCGCUUUUAGGGAAAAUAGGAUUUUGAAUGGAAAUACAUUUUGGGUCCCCAUGAGGAUUGAAGAACAUAAGAUGUGUGUGUUAUGGAGCAUGUCUAAGUCAGUGGACAGGCUGGAGGGCAGUGCUAUAUUUAUCCUCUCUGUUCCUGAACUGAGCUGGAGGGCAGUGCUAUAUUUAUCCUCUCUGUUCCUGAACUGAGCUGGAGGGCAGUGCUAUAUUUAUCCUCUCUGUUCCUGAACUGAGCUGGAGGGCAGUGCUAUAUUUAUCCUCUCUGUUCCUGAACUGAGCUGGAGGGCAGUGCUAUAUUUAUCCUCUCUGUUCCUGAACUGAGCUGAACUCUCCUGGAAGAUACUAAGACCAGUCAUGUCUGCCACACACACACACACACACACAGUAGGCUCUCCCAGGGAGCCAGACGUGCAUGAUGGAAGGAUGAUUUCCUGCCUCUCUCUCGUGUGUGGGUUGGUCGGUGUGUGUGUGUGUUCAAGUCGGUGGUUCUAUUUGCGUGCUCAUUAGUAGUACCCACCUGCUGUUGAAAUCGUCACCCGGGGUUUGUCAUCGUGGCAGGACGUCACAGUGGAAAAUAUGUCCAGUCAACUAUCCAUCCUCACGUGUGUUGUCAUAUCCCACUGUCUGAUUCUUCCAGGUUCUGAUUUAUCCCAUUUAGUUUUUCCCAGCCGUGUAUUUCGGGACUUUGUAUUGGUAAAACGGGAAUUCUUCUUUUGGGAAUUGGAGAGUCGGUUAUUAAUUUUUUUAAAUGUCACAGGUCACAGGUAGGGAUGAGUCAUUGUCUGAAAAGUUGAAAGCUAAGAAUCAUAGGAUGCUGUUUUUUGUCGCCAUCGUCCUCAUCCUCUUCCUUCUCAUGCCUGAUAAAACCAGUGACAUGAUGACUUCCCAUCCAAACUUGGAAAUGAAAAUCUCUUUGUCAGUUUGUACUUUCCCCAUUGUUAAUGUUAGUUUCUGGAAUACAGCGGUUGUCUUCUCUACUCAAACAUCACACAGCCCUCUUUUCAGAAGCUGUAAAUUUAGUCGAAUUGCUGUUCUAUUAUGCAUUUACCAGACUAUAUCAUGUGUAAAUGUGUUGUGUUUGUGAAGUGUGUGAAAACUAUGCUUUUGUUUUCACACAUUAUUGCAAAAAUAUUUUUGCUUAAAUGUUCUUUGUUAAGCUGAGCUGUGUAGCCAUCUUUGUUAAGGUGGGCUGUGUAGCCAUCUUUGUUAAGCUGAGCUGGGUAGCCAUCUUUGUUAAACUGAGCUGUGUAGCCAUCUUUGUUAAGGUGGGCUGUGUAGCCAUCUUUAUUAAGGUGGGCUGUGUAGCCAUCUUUAUUAAGGUGGGCUGUGUAGCCAUCUUUGUUAAGCUGAGCUGUGUAGCCAUCUUUGUUAAGGUGGGCUGUGUAGCCAUCUUUAUUAAGGUGGGCUGUGUAGCCAUCUUUGUUAAGGUGGGCUGUGUAGCCAUCUUUAUUAAGGUGGGCUGUGUAGCCAUCUUUAUUAAGGUUGCCUGUGUAGCCAUCUUUGUUAAGCUGAGCUGUGUAGCCAUCUUUGUUAAGGUGAGCUGUGUAGCCAUCUUUGUUAAGGUGAGCUGUGUAGCCAUCUUUGUUAAGCUGAGCUGUGUAGCCAUCUUUGUUAAGCUGAGUUGUGUAGCCAUCUUUGUUAAGGUGAGCUGUGUAGCCAUCUUUGUUAAGCUGAGCUGUGUAGCCAUCUUUGUUAAGGUGGGCUGUGUAGCCAUCUUUGUUAAGCUGAGCUGUGUAGCCAUCUUUGUUAAGCUGAGCUGUGUAGCCAUCUUUGUUAAGCUGAGCUGUGUAGCCAUCACACUCACUUUGUUGGAAUAUGGAAACCUUCUGGCCAAUGUUUACCAGGCUGCAGGUACAGAAUGUGCAGCUGUGCUUGACUUGUGUUGUGCUCUUUUGUGGGGGAUCCGAUUUCAAGCCAGGCUUGUGUUUGGUGGGAGUGGGAUGAUGUGAAUGCAGAGGGGAGGGAGGGUGGAUGACUCCAUAUUGUCAAUGCUGACUGGUUUCAAAAAAUACAUUUGCAGAGAUGUUUUCAAAUGCUACUGUAAGUGAAAUGGUGAAGAGCGAGGAGGCAUAUAUUCUAUUGUAUGUUGGGUGGGUGGGCCGGGUUACCGUGGCAACAUAUCGUGGUGAACACUGCCGUGGGGAAGUGAAGUUCUCAGUACAUUUACACGUUGAUCUCUUUAAAGCUUCUGAUUUUUAAAAAAGACUGAUGACUGUUUGCUUCUUAGAGCUAAAUGAAUUUCUAUUAAAUAUUUUAAAAAAGAUUGCUCAAACUGAUUGUGUGCAAUUGUAAUGAUGGAAAUUCAAUAAAAGGUAUUUUUACACAAUAA